GAUGAACGCUAGCGGCAGGCUUAAUACAUGCAAGUCGAACGGUAAAUAUUGAGCAAUCGAUAUGAGAGUGGCGCACGGGUGAGUAACACGUAUGUAACCUACCCUUAACUGGGGAAUAGCUCCGAGAAAUCGGAAUUAAUACCCCAUAACAUCAAGAUAUGGCAUCAUAAAUUGAUUAAAGCUCCGGCGGUUAAGGAUGGACAUGCGGCCCAUUAGCUAGUUGGUGAAGGUAACGGCUCACCAAGGCAUCGAUGGGUAGCUGGUCUGAGAGGAUGAUCAGCCACACUGGCACUGAGACACGGGCCAGACUCCUACGGGAGGCAGCAGUAGGGAAUAUUGGGCAAUGGGCGAAAGCCUGACCAAGCCAUGCCGCGUGCAGGAUUGAAGGUUCUAUGAAUUGUAAACUGCUUUUGUCAGGGACGAAUAAGCUUCUUUCUAGGAGAAUUGACGGUACCUGAAGAAUAAGCACCGGCUAACUACGUGCCAGCCGCCGCGGUAA
rnacentral:rRNA from 1 species